rnacentral:tRNA from 1 species
GCUACUAUAUCUUAUAGUUUAAAGGCUCAGAUUCUUACUCUGGAGAAGUUUAUUUAAAACUAGUAGCC